rnacentral:lncRNA from 1 species
UUCUGGUAGGCCUGUGUGUCGUCGAAUGCAUGAUGGAUGAGAACUGUCAAGCUGGGGAGAAGUGCUGCAAGUCAGGAUGCGGCCGUUUCUGUGUCCCACGGUCCUUGAACUUCAACAGGACCCUCAGGUCGGAUCUGAAUUAGGUGAGAACAGUCCCCUCAACAACCAAUAUCAAGGUAAUAGACUUAACCGCUGUGUGCAAAGAGCAGCUUAGGUCCUGGGAAGGGGACUGCUGAAGGCUCAGAUGGCUCUGGUCAGGGAGAAAGAUCCUGUGUCACCGAGCGAAACUGCUGUGGUCAGUACGGGCUUGUAGGUGUUAAGGUGGGUACGGUAGAGAUGGGGUGUGAUCUGGGUGUGUCAAGGUGGGGCUAGCGCAGACAGUAUGCCAGACAGGCGGUGUGACUGUUAGGGAAGUGAAAGGGUGGGCACGGUGUACGUGAUUGGGCAGUGGGGGCUGAGGGACAGUGGAUAAGGGAAUAGGCAUAGCUCCUCUUUUUGAUGACAGGAGAUACAAGGUAGACUUCUGUGUGACCAGAGUCUGCAGUUGGGUUAUUUAGGAAGCAGGUAGCCAUGUCCACUUUUGAGAGCAGUGUCUGCCACGGUUCUUGAGGGUGGAGGGAGGACACGGUGGGUGGCUGGGGCCGGAGGCACCGUGGUGACUUGAUCUCUCUUCCCCUUGCAGAGGCCUCGGUGCCCUACUUGUCCUGAUUUGUCUGGAGCUUCAUUAGUGACUCCAGGAGGUUCGUCCUGGCAGCCAGGAGAGGCUGACAUCCUGCGGCUUGUGACGCUCCUGGGGGCCCUCACAGCCCUCUGUGUCCUGCUUUUCUUCCUCCCUGGCCUGGAGCACAGGAGGAGCAGUGCUGGCUGGGGUGGGUGUCGGUGCGCUCUUCCCCAAUAAAGGCUGGUGCUGGCCUCUGUCUGUGUGUCUGGGCUCAGAUGAGGCGGGACUGGGAGGCUGCUGAGUGAGGCUGGAGGAACAAUAAAAAUGGGUGUUGG